GACGAACGCUGGCGGCGUGCUUAACACAUGCAAGUCGAACGGAAAGGCCCUGCUUUUGUGGGGUGCUCGAGUGGCGAACGGGUGAGUAACACGUGAGUAACCUGCCCUUGACUUUGGGAUAACUUCAGGAAACUGGGGCUAAUACCGGAUAGGAGCUCCUGCUGCAUGGUGGGGGUUGGAAAGUUUCGGCGGUUGGGGAUGGACUCGCGGCUUAUCAGCUUGUUGGGGGGGUAGUGGCUUACCAAGGCUUUGAAGGGUAGCCGGCCUGAGAGGGUGACCGGCCACAUUGGGACUGAGAUACGGCCCAGACUCCUACGGGAGGCAGCAGUGGGGAAUAUUGCACAAUGGGCGGAAGCCUGAUGCAGCAACGCCGCGUGCGGGAUGACGGCCUUCGGGUUGUAAACCGCUUUCGCCUGUGACGAAGCGUGAGUGACGGUAAUGGGUAAAGAAGCACCGGCUAACUACGUG
rnacentral:rRNA from 1 species